rnacentral:misc_RNA from 1 species
GGUGUGCUGAUCUCAUCAGAUCUGCUUUCUCAUCAGGUAGUUUCCUUUGUCACCAUAUUGAAUUGUUAGUUUUUGCUUUUCAAGAAACAAACUUGUAUUGGCAAUAUUAAUUCAUAGUAUUAUUUUUAGACAUUGAAGUUAACCCCUGAUUUUAUAGUGGUCAUCUGAAAAAGAAUUGUUCGCUAAAUAUUCAGAAGAAAACUUAGUGUUCCUUUGACAGCCGAAAAGCUUGACAUUAUUGAAAGGCUUUAUCACCAAGCCAUGUAACUUGAAAUGGAGUUCUUCAAAUGUGCAGCCACUUUCUCAGCUCACUGUGGUUCCUUGUGGUGAUGAGUCUAAGAUGUUGCCAAGGCUAAGGCAAUGGAAUUUGAAAA